AACGAACGCUGGCGGCAGGCCUAACGCAUGCAAGUCGAACGCUUCAGCAAUGAAGAGUGGCAGACGGGUGAGUAACGCGUGGGAACCUUCCCAGUGGUACGGAAUAGCCCAGGGAAACUUGGGGUAAUACCGUAUAAGCCCUUCGGGGGAAAGAUUUAUCGCCAUUGGAUGGGCCCGCGUCGGAUUAGCUUGUUGGUGAGGUAAAAGCUCACCAAGGCGACGAUCCGUAGCUGGUCUGAGAGGAUGAUCAGCCACACUGGGACUGAGACACGGCCCAGACUCCUACGGGAGGCAGCAGUGGGGAAUAUUGGACAAUGGGCGCAAGCCUGAUCCAGCCAUGCCGCGUGAGUGACGAAGGCCUUAGGGUUGUAAAGCUCUUUUGGCGGGGACGAUAAUGACGGUACCCGCAGAAUAAGCUCCGGCUAACUUCGUG
rnacentral:rRNA from 1 species